rnacentral:ncRNA from 1 species
AUCCUCUGCAGACGACUGAAUGACCAAGCGGGUCGUGUAAGCGGUCAAGUAGCCUAGUUGUUACGAGUCGCUGAGCGUCAGGCCGAUCCUUGGCUCGAUUUGU